ACACAACUCUCAGCAACGGAUAUCUUGGCUCUUGCAACGAUGAAGAACGCAGCGAAAUGCGAUACUUAAUGUGAAUUGCAGAAUUCCGCGAAUCAUCGAGUCUUUGAACGCAAGUUGCGCCCGAGGCUUGUCCGAGGGCAUUUCCGCUAGAGCGUCACC
rnacentral:rRNA from 2 species